GAUGAACGCUGGCGGCGUGCCUAAUACAUGCCAGUCGAGCGAACAGACGAGGAGCUUGCUCCUCUGACGUUAGCGGCGGACGGGUGAGUAACACGUGGAUAACCUACCUAUAAGACUGGGAUAACUUCGGGAAACCGGAGCUAAUACCGGAUAAUAUAUUGAACCGCAUGGUUCAAUAGUGAAAGACGGUUUUGAUGUCACUUAUAGAUGGAUCCGCGCCGCAUUAGCUAGUUGGUAAGGUAACGGCUUACCAAGGCAACGAUGCGUAGCCGACCUGAGAGGGUGUUCGGCCACACUGGAACUGAGCCGCGGUCCAGACUCCUACGGGAGGCAGCAGUAGGGAAUCUUCCGCAAUGGGCGAAAGCCUGACGGAGCAACGCCGCGUGAGUGAUGAAGUUCUUCGGAUCGUAAAACUCUGUUAUUAGGGAAGAACAAAUGUGUAAGUAACUAUGCACGUCUUGACGGUACCUAAUCAGAAAGCCACGGCUAACUACGUG
rnacentral:rRNA from 1 species